rnacentral:rRNA from 1 species
UACGGGGGGAGCAAGCGUUGUUCGGAUUUACUGGGCGUAAAGGGCGCGUAGGCGGUCAGCACAAGUCAGUUGUGAAAUCUCCGGGCUUAACUCGGAAAGGUCAACUGAUACUGUGCGACUAGAGUGUGGAAGGGGCAACUGGAAUUCUCGGUGUAGCGGUGAAAUGCGUAGAUAUCGAGAGGAACACCUGCGGCGAAGGCGGGUUGCUGGGCUGACACUGACGCUGAUGCGCGAAAGCCAGGGGAGCGAACGGG